rnacentral:rRNA from 1 species
AGUGAACGCUGGCGGUAGGCCUAACACAUGCAAGUCGAACGGCAGCACAGUAAGAGCUUGCUCUUACGGGUGGCGAGUGGCGGACGGGUGAGGAAUACAUCGGAAUCUACUUUUUCGUGGGGGAUAACGUAGGGAAACUUACGCUAAUACCGCAUACGUCCUACGGGUGAAAGCAGGGGAUCUUCGGACCUUGCGCGAUUGUAUGAGCCGAUGUCGGAUUAGCUAGUUGGCGGGGUAAAGGCCCACCAAGGCGACGAUCCGUAGCUGGUCUGAGAGGAUGAUCAGCCACACUGGAACUGAGACACGGUCCAGACUCCGACGGGAGGAAGCAGUGGGGAAUAUUGGACAAUGGGCGCAAGCCUGAUCCAGCCAUACCGCGUGAGUGAAGAAGGACUUCGGGUUGUAAAGCCCUUUUGUUGGGAAAGAAAAGCAGCAGGUUAAUACCCCGCUGUUCUGACGGUACCCAAAGAAUAAGCACCGGCUAACUUCGUG